CGGACGGGUGAGUAACGCGUGAGAACCUACCCUUAGGAUGGGGACAACAGUUGGAAACGACUGCUAAUACCCGAUGUGCCGAGAGGUGAAAGAUUUAUCGCCUAGGGAAGGGCUCGCGGCUGAUUAGCUAGUUGGUAAGGUAAAGGCUUACCAAGGCGACGAUCAGUAGCUGGUCUGAGAGGAUGAGCAGCCACACUGGGACUGAGACACGGCCCAGACUCCUACGGGAGGCAGCAGUGGGGAAUUUUCCGCAAUGGGCGAAAGCCUGACGGAGCAAUACCGCGUGUGGGAGGAAGGCUCUUGGGUUGUAAACCACUUUUCUCAGGGAAGAAUAGAUGACGGUACCUGAGGAAUAAGCAUCGGCUAACUCCGUGCCAGCAGCCGCGGUAAUACGGAGGAUGCAAGCGUUAUCCGGAAUCAUUGGGCGUAAAGCGUCCGCAGGUGGCCUAUCAAGUCUGCUGUCAAAGCGCAGAGCUCAACUCUGUAAAGGCAGUGGAAACUGAUAAGCUAGAGUUCGGUAGGGGUAGCGGGAAUUCCCAGUGUAGCGGUGAAAUGCGUAGAUAUUGGGAAGAACAUCGGUGGCGAAGGCGCGCUACUGGGCCGAAACUGACACUGAGGGACGAAAGCUAGGGGAGCGAAUGGGAUUAGAUACCCCAGUAGUC
rnacentral:rRNA from 1 species